rnacentral:rRNA from 1 species
UACGUAGGCAGCGAGCGUUGUUCGGAGUUACUGGGCGUAAAGAGUGCGUAGGCGGUUUUCUAAGUUUGGUGUGAAAUCUCCCGGCUUAACUGGGAGGGUGCGCCGAAAACUGGGUGACUGGAGUGUCGGAGAGGUAAGCGGAAUUCCUGGUGUAGCGGUGAAAUGCGUAGAGAUCAGGAGGAACACCUGCGGUGUAGACAGCUUUCUGGACCACUUCUGACGCUGAGACACGAAAGCGUGGGUAGCAAACAGG